rnacentral:rRNA from 1 species
GGGUGCGAUCAUACCAGCACUAAUGCACCGGAUCCCAUCAGAACUCCGAAGUUAAGCGUGCUUGGGCGAGAGUAGUACUAGGAUGGGUGACCUCCUGGGAAGUUCUCGUGUUGCACCCC